UGGACUUUGAACCUGACAUCCAAGU
rnacentral:piRNA from 1 species